UCGAGCGGUAGAGAGAAGCUUGCUUCUCUUGAGAGCGGCGGACGGGUGAGUAAUGCCUAGGAAUCUGCCUGGUAGUGGGGGAUAACGUCCGGAAACGGACGCUAAUACCGCAUACGUCCUACGGGAGAAAGUGGGGGCUCUUCGGACCUCACGCUAUCAGAUGAGCCUAGGUCGGAUUAGCUAGUUGGUGGGGUAAAGGCUCACCAAGGCGACGAUCCGUAACUGGUCUGAGAGGAUGAUCAGUCACACUGGAACUGAGACACGGUCCAGACUCCUACGGGAGGCAGCAGUGGGGAAUAUUGGACAAUGGGCGAAAGCCUGAUCCAGCCAUGCCGCGUGUGUGAAGAAGGUCUUCGGAUUGUAAAGCACUUUAAGUUGGGAGGAAGGGUCGUUACCUAAUACGUGGCGAUUUUGACGUUACCGACAGAAUAAGCACCGGCUAACUCUGUGCCAGCAGCCGCGGUAAUACAGAGGGUGCAAGCGUUAAUCGGAAUUACUGGGCGUAAAGCGCGCGUAGGUGGUUUGUUAAGUUGGAUGUGAAAUCCCCGGGCUCAACCUGGGAACUGCAUCCAAAACUGGCAAGCUAGAGUAGGGCAGAGGGUGGUGGAAUUUCCUGUGUAGCGGUGAAAUGCGUAGAUAUAGGAAGGAACACCAGUGGCGAAGGCGACCACCUGGGCUCAUAC
rnacentral:rRNA from 1 species